CAUAAUUUGGCCUACCUGCUCUUCAUUACUGGCAAUGAUGCACAAGCUGGAGUUAAUCCAGGCUGAGCUUGCAGAGCUGGCAGUUAGGGCCAAAAGUCCCCCAGUCACAGCCAGGUGUACUGCAGCUCAAAGCCGGAGCACCUCCAACCCCACCAGGGCUACCACACAGACGUGACUGAUGCCUGGCUGUCUGGGGCCUGGCCCCCUGUCAUUGGAAAGUCCAUGAAGACAAUGGCAAAGCUCAAACAUUUAGACAUUUACUACCUAGCAACUAACAACCAUGGAGGUCCCACCCCUCUGCAGGAAGCCAGCCACGUUUGACCAGCUGGACCACAAAGAACUGAGGAGGGACUGGCCCAGAAAUUUGAUAAAGAGGACAGAGUGGGAGCCAAGGGUGUAUACCGCUUGUCUGGGGCUUUGGGUAACCAGAAUGGUUCUAUGCUGUAACUUCAUUUUCCCUGUGCUAACCAAGGACUUUCCACACUGUUCCAAACAUCUGAUAAAUCCUACUGCUUUUACAGUGCUGGCUGAGAGUCACUGCAGACGGUGAAAGUGGGAGUACUUUGCUCCCUUUGGGAAUGCAAGUCUCUCUCAGGUGUCCAGCUCAGAUGGACUUGCUGAAGAGAGCUCACAGCAUGAAGGAAGGGUGCUAAAGGUUCCGAGGUCUGUUCCAAGGAGGCAGUGAAAACAAGUGGCUUACCUUAGCAAGAGUAUUGCAGUACACUCAUCUGUUCUCCAUAAUGUGUACAGCCCAAUCACCUCAUGAGGGGAAUGAAGGCAUGAGUGCUGCUGGAACAGAUUGUCUCUUAUAGUGCAAACCCCAGUGACAUCUGAUUCACCCACUGGCAGCCAUCCAAACCUAUCUGGACAAGCAGGCCUCACUGAACUGGGG